AUGUGGCUCAGUGGUAGAGCACUGGCCUGGCAUGCACAAAGCCUUGGGUUCAAUUCCCAGCAU
rnacentral:tRNA from 1 species